rnacentral:rRNA from 1 species
UGAGGAAUAUUGGUCAAUGGACGCAAGUCUGAACCAGCCAAGUAGCGUGCAGGAUGACGGCCCUAUGGGUUGUAAACUGCUUUUAUAUGGGGAUAAAGUGGGGAACGUGUUCCCUUUUGCAGGUACCAUAUGAAUAAGGACCGGCUAAUUCCGUGCCAGCAGCCGCGGUAAUACGGAAGGUCCAGGCGUUAUCCGGAUUUAUUGGGUUUAAAGGGAGCGUAGGCUGUUUGUUAAGCGUGUUGUGAAAUGUAAGAGCUCAACUUUUAGAUUGCAGCGCGAACUGGCAGACUUGAGUGCGCACAACGUAGGCGGAAUUCAUGGUGUAGCGGUGUAAUGCUUAGAUAUCAUGACGAGCUCCGAUUGCGAAGGCAGCUUACGGGAGCGCAACUGACGCUAAAGCUCGAAGGUGCGGGUAUCGAACAGG